CCUUCCCCCCUCCCAGGGAACACCCUGCAAUUAAAGGAGACUCGCCCCAUUUCUGUGAAAAGGCAAUUGGCACACGUCUCUUUGCUGAAGCAGAAAUGGUGGGUGGGAAUCUGGCAUCUCUCCUCUCAGAGGUGUUUUCCUCCCUCUCUCUGGCGUCUAUAUAAGUCAACUGGUUUCCCGUCUGUGGGCACGGCUCUCCUUCCCCUGCUGCCCAGAAGAAGCAGGUAGGAACCUCUCCUAGCUCCUUGGCGAAAGACCCGUCACCGGAGAACAGGCCAGAUUGAAGACACAGUCCAGUCAGCAAGCAGGGACCGGCCCAGAAGGCGAGACUCCCAAGGAGCUUCUGGAUCUCGGCUCGGAACAGAACCUCAUUCCCAGCCCCUGGAAAUCGCAGCAAGGCCGCCUCUCACCGGAUCCCAGCACUGCUGUUCGGAAAGAGAGCGUCGGGCUGCAAUGGCUGCUCCUGCUCCAGAAUCAACCAGCUGGGAGAGCCCCAACAAACAUGCUCUACAUACAUUCGAAGGUACAAUAAUUCCUAUGGUUCCACUUCCGGCUCGCCAAGGCGCUGAGGGAUUCUCCCUGUCUGACUAGAGGCGCUGUUGAGAUAUCUAAUGCCGAGAAGCUCUGCCAGGGUUUAGAAUGUGACCCUGGAUCCUAAAACGGCUCAUCCCAACCUUGUCCUGUGUAAGAAACGGAAGUAUGUGACAUCGGUACACCCACCGCAGGAUCUGCCCGACAACCCUAAGAGAUUUGACACCGUUCCCUGCGUGCUGGGCUCUGAGGGGUUCACCUCGAGGAAACAUUAUUGGGAGGUGGUGGUGGGGAAUCAGCGGGAAUGGGCUGUGGGGGUAGCCAGAGACUCUGUGAGAAGAAAGGGAUCUGUCCAGCUUACGCCGGAGGAAAGGAUCUGGGCUCUGGGGCGUUGGUGGGUUGGAUACGGUUCUGUCUUGGAUCCACGGGUGGGGAGUGGAUCAUCUGCCUCCGAGCAUAGAGAGGACGAGGCGCAUGAGACAGAGCACAGGGGAGAGCAUACGGAGGCGGCGCAUUUGCUAUCCGGGUACGAGGGAGCUGAGACGAUUGGGGUUCUUCUGGAAUAUGGAAAAGGAAAAGUGACCUUUUACGAACAGGACAAGGUCACAAUCAUGCGAGUCGAUUUCGGCGGCGAAGAAGUCUUUCCUUUCUUCUACGUGGGCCCAGGAGUCCACCUCAAAGUGAUUCCCUGAGACACGGAGGAAAUAUCCCGCAGCAACCCUCUGACAUGGAUUUCUUGGGUUCCCCCAGCGGCUAUCCUAGCCUCAAAGUCUCUAUGCCCCUGGCGGACGCCUUCACAUUCCCGACAGGACUCUCCUACCUGCGUAGUUGCCAAUACCUCUGAUUCCACAGGGCUUCCGUGGUCCUGCGGAGAUUUUCCAUCCCUUAGGGAUGGAAUAAUGUAGUUGAUUCACCAAUUAACUGAUAAGCAAAAGCUUAUCAACUAAUGCUAUACAUGCAUUCCCCCCUCCUUGCCCUUGCCAGUGAAUAUUUGAGCAGAUUGGCCAGCAGCCUGGCUCAGUCCUGGCUUGUACCAGGUCCAGGAUCCUGGCCCACUGUG